rfam:Trichuris suis scaffold47.2, whole genome shotgun sequence.
CCUCUGAUAGCUCAGUUGGCAGAGCGGUGGACUGUAGUGUUCAUAAAACAUGGGCAUCCAUAGGUCGCUGGUUCAAAUCCGGCUCAGAGGA